AAAAAGAAAAAAUAGUUCGACGCCAAAAAUUAAAUUACAAAACAAAAUAUAGAUCUCGUUUGCUCGCUCUGUUUCUGAGAGACAAAUGCUGCGAGCCUCAAUUUCCUCCAAGCUGUUUGUAAAUUGUAAUUGAUCCGCCACCGUACUCGUCGGCUUCCGGCCAAAUUGUCGGCCUCAUUUGCCUAGUUUUCAGCUUAUUGUUUGUCGUCAAUGAUCCCUUUCAAGCAAGCAUCCAUUGAUGUCAGCUCCUCAAUUUCUCCGUUGGAAGAAGCAAAUUCAUGAAGGGAAUUGAAGAAAGUAAAACUUAUGACGUCAACUGUUGAUGAAGAUGAUAGGGAGCCAGCCAUGGAGUCUGGCGAAUCUGAUGAAGGAAUAGUUGUCCGAGAAGUCUGUGCAAAUGGGAUCUGCAUAAAAACAACAGAAGUAGAAGCAAAGCUCGAUGAGGGAAAUAUCCAAGAGGCAGAAUCUUCAUUACGGGAAGGGUUAUCUCUCAAUUUUGAGGAAGCCAGAGCCCUUCUUGGGAAGUUGGAAUAUCAGAGAGGUAAUGUCGAAGGUGCUCUACGCGUGUUUGAUGGUAUUGAUCUCCAAGCAGCUAUUCAACGAUUACAGCCUAGUGUUUCUGAGAAGACACCUCCAAAAAAGGGACGCUCGCGCACUGAAUCUCAACAUGCAGUUUCGCAGCAUGCUGCAAACCUGGUUCUUGAAGCCAUAUAUUUAAAAGUGAAGUCUCUUCAGAAGCUAGGGAGAGUAACUGAGGCUGCUGAUGAGUGUACUAGUGUACUUGAUGCUGUAGAGAAGAUAUUCCAGCAAGGAAUUCCUGAUGGGCAAGUGGAUAGCAGAUUGCAAGAUACUGUCAGUCAGGCUGUAGAACUCCUCCCUGAGCUAUGGAAGCAGGCUGGCUGUUUCCAGGAAGCAAUAUCUGCUUAUAGACGUGCCCUCCUAAGCCAAUGGAACCUCAAUAAUGAAAGCUGUGCUAGGAUCCAGAAAGGAUUUGCUGUUUUUUUGCUUUACAGUGGAGUAGAGGCUGGUCCUCCUAGUUUAGCUGUUCAACUUGAAGGUUCUUAUGUACCAAAAAAUAAUUUGGAAGAAGCAAUUCUACUUUUGAUGGUCCUUGUGAAGAAAUAUUACCUUGGUAAAAUAAAAUGGGAUCCAUCGGUGAUGGAGCACCUAAUAUAUGCUCUAUCCUUGUGCAGUCAGACGUCUGUUUUAGCAAAACAGCUUGAAGAGGUCAUGCCUGGAGUAUAUCACCGUGUAGAUCGUUGGAAGUAUUUAGCUUUUUGUUAUUGUGCAGCAGGACAGAAUAAAGUUGCCUUAAAUCUUCUGAGAAAGUCUCUACAUAAACAUGAGAAACCAGAUGAUGUGGCAGCUUUAUUAUUGGCUGCCAAGAUCUGUAGUGAGGAUCCUUAUCUUGCUGCUGAAGGAGUUGGUUAUGCCCAGCGGGUAAUGAAUAAUUCUAUAGAAAAUGAAGAGCAUUUAAAGGGUGUAGGUCUUCGCUUGUUAGGUCUUUGUCUGGGAAAACAAGCCAAAAUGUCUUCCUCUGACUUUGAGAGGUCCCGUCUUCAGUCAGAGGCAUUGAAAUCUCUUGAGGCAGCAAGUGGUCUGGAGAGCAAUAAUUUAGAUUUGAUGCUUGAGUUAGGAGUACAAUAUUCAGAAUAUCGAAAUUUGAAUGCUGCUCUGCAAUAUGCAAAGAAGUUUAUUGAUGAAACCGGUGGCUCUGUCUUAAAAGGCUGGCAGUUGCUUGCUCUUGUUUUGUCUGCCCAAAAGAGAUUCUCAGAGGCUGAAGUGGUCACUGAUGCUGCAAUGGAUGAGACAACAAAAUGGGAACAAGGUCCACUUCUCAGACUCAAGGCAAAGCUGAAAGUUUCUCAAUCAUUACAUAUGGAUGCUAUCGAAACUUACCGUUAUCUCCUUGCAUUAGUUCAAGCGCAAAAGAAAUCAUUUGGACCUCUCCGAAUUAUCCCUCAGGUUGAAGAUGAUAAAGUGAAUGAAUUUGAAGUGUGGAAUGGUCUAGCCAAUUUAUACUCCAGCCUUUCACAUUGGAAAGAUGCAGAGAUAUGUCUAGGAAAAGCAAGAGAGCUGAAAGAGUUCUCCCCAGAAGUACUACAUAGUGAAGGUCUAAUGUGUGAAGGACGUGAGAAAAUACAAGAAGCUCUAGCAGCUUAUAUUAAUGCUCUCCUACUCGAACCGUCUUAUGUUCCUUGCAAGGUUUUGAUUGGUGCUCUUUGGUCGAAAGCGGGCCCGGAUGCAUUGCCUAUAGCGAGAAGCUUACUUUCAGACGCAUUGAGAUUAGAUCCUACCAACCGUAAGGCUUGGUUUUACUUAGGGGUCAUUCAUCGGGACGAAGGACGAAUGGCUGAUGCUAUAGACUGCUUCCAGGCGGCCGCCAUGCUUGAAGAAUCCGAUCCCAUUGAAAGCUUCAGCAGUAUUCUCUAGUCAGUCAUUAAUUUAUUGAAGGUCUCAGUUUUCAUUAUUUUUUUUCUUCGUGGAUUAAAACGAUCACUUCAAACUGGCUAUGCAAUGGUCACAGGCGAUAUUUCACUUUCUUCGGGGCCGAAAAGAAGGCACUGGCGAAAUGUGAAGAACUGUGCUGUAAGUUGUAACUGAAAAAACUUAAUCUAUAAGUUUAAUAAGAUAAAGAAUCUGUUUUAAAACUAUAUAAAUAUGAAGUUAGAAAGGAUGAAUUGUAGAGAGAUGAGUUGGUGGAUAUUUUAAAAAAUUGAUUGUUUGUUCUUACCAUUCUUGCUCAGCAAUGUAUAUUUAUUCUUGUAACUGAGCAAUAUUAGAGGAAUUAUACCUUUUUCUUCUGUUUAUUUGUUGUGAUGUAUGAAAUUUUCUUCCAAUCCAA